UUCAUCUCAAAGGAUGCUAUUUCGCCACUUCAUUGAGAGCGCUGCACCAUGGACACUUGACUGGUUGAGCACUGGACAAAAAGACAUUUGCAACGGCAACUUCAAUUGAGAAUGACAUGGACCUUCCUAUCACACCUCGACUGAUCAUGCUUGGGAACACAUUACUGACUUCCACAAAAUGGAUGGUGAGCAUGGAGGGGAAGGUGGCCUUUGUCUUGGAUGAGCACUUAAGUUUCACUGAUGCCCUGUCAGUAUUCUUUUCCAGCUUCUAUGUUUUUAACAUAGAGUACCAGGAACCUGCCUGUGCAACCCUGGAAUUGAUACAACGAUUCUUUGUGAGAAUUAAUCCCGAGGAUGGAACUAAGUGUACAACAAAAACAGGAGUGAGCCGAAAAACAGGACAGUUGGUGAAGAGAAAGGCCUUACCAAUCAACAACAGAGUGGCGUCAUUUGUGUCUAGGCUGACCCAAUUUGAGUGGCAGCACUCAAACUAGGUGUGAAUCUCACAUUAGGGUAACACAUAUUUUUCUGGUAGACUGUUUUAUAGUUUCUGGAGGGUUUGGCCCAAGGUUUUGGAGCUGAUUUUUUUAUUGUUAGUGCACUCAGGCUAGUCCUGCCCAGAUGAAGAAGCGGGUCAGUGGAGGUUAGUGGAGUCUAUGGCUGGUUAAAUCUCUCGGCUGAAUGCCAUGGCCAUUGGCCGAACGUAGCUGACCCCACACUUAUCGCCAUGGCCACAGGGCUCAAGGGGUUCCUGCUAUUCAAGCAAACAGCCAAAAGAACGACCAAGACAACUCACCAAUGCCAUUUGAAUGCAACAUCUUGCAGAACUAUAUACACCAAUAUUUAAAAGUGGCACUUUUUGUCUUUUUUUAGAUUUUUGUUGCUGUUGUUAUUUUGUUAAAUACUUGACUGUCAGAUAGUUAUGUAAGAUAAAUCAGAUUUUACCAAAAAUACUUGCAGACCACCAAAACAUCCUCCAUCCUCCAUGUGAGACCACACAAAAAAACCACACAAACCACACAGAAAAACACACAUCCAGACACACAAACGUGUCCCCAUAUCCUUUUGUGCCCAUGUGUACUCACAACAAAAUACAUACAAAAACAAAUUUCCCCUUUGUUUGCCUGGUUCCUUGUUUGAGUGCAAAUGGCAAAAUGAAAUGUGAAUUGAAAUGUAUAC